AGUGGGACAAGGUGAUUGACAGCUGUGUUCACCUAUCGGAGAGUAGGGCUCCCUACUUAAGGGCUGAUUGGUUGAUGCCGUGUAUGUGUCAUGUCUGAUCCCUCCCCCCGUGUCUGUUGACGGUCGUCACAGUGUGUGUUGGCUCCGAUGCUGGUGCCUGUUAGCACUGUUCCAUGGAUUUUAAGAGUGCUAGUCUCUCAGGUUGACUCCCUGUAUGCCAGGGCACUGGUGGCUGCCAUGACAGCUGUAUGCCGGUGUCCGUAAGGUGUCGUGCCUGGCGUAAGAAGCGGGUUCUCCCUCUCGUUCCGGGCUGUGAUUAGGUCUGCCGCCUACCUCUUCGCACUGUUUUAGCGCUGCUA